CGCUGGCGGCACGCCUAACACAUGCAAGUCGAACGAAGUAGCAAUACUUAGUGGCAGACGGGUGAGUAACAUGUGGGUAUCUACCCUUUGGCCUGGAAUAACACGAGGAAACUUGUGCUAAUACCGGAUAAGUCUUUACAGAGAAAGCUUUAUGCACCAUUGGAUGAGCCCGCACUUGAUUAGUUUGUUGGUAGGGUAAUGGCCUACCAAGACUGUGAUCAAUAGCUGAUUUGAGAGGAUGAUCAGCCACAUUGGGACUGAGACACGGCCCAAACUCCUACGGGAGGCAGCAGUGGGGAAUCUUGCACAAUGGAGGAAACUCUGAUGCAGCGAUGCCGCGUGAGUGAAGAAGGCCCUUGGGUUGUAAAGCUCUUUCGUCGGGGAAGAAAAUGACUGUACCCGAAUAAGAAGGUCCGGCUAACUUCGUGCCAGCAGCCGCGGUAAUACGAAGGGACCUAGCGUAGUUCGGAAUUACUGGGCUUAAAGAGUUCGUAGGUGGUUGAAAAAGUUGGUGGUGAAAUCCCAGAGCUUAACUCUGGAACUGCCAUCAAAACUUUUCAGCUAGAGUUUGAUAGAGGAAAGCAGAAUUUCUAGUGUAGAGGUGAAAUUCGUAGAUAUUAGAAAGAAUACCAAUUGCGAAGGCAGCUUUCUGGAUCAUUACUGACACUGAGGAACGAAAGCAUGGGUAGCGAAGAGGAUUAGAUACCCUCGUAGUCCAUGCCGUAAACGAUGUGUGUUAGACGUUGGAAAUUUAUUUUCAGUGUCGCAGCGAAAGCGAUAAACACACCGCCUGGGG
rnacentral:rRNA from 1 species